CUAAUACCGGAUAAAUAAAAAGAACUGCAUGGUUUCUUUUUAGAAAGAUGGUUUCGGCUAUCACUUACAGAUGGGCCCGCGGCGCAUUAGCUAGUUGGUGAGGUAACGGCUCACAAGGCAACGAUGCGUAGCCGACCUGAGAGGGUGAUCGGCCACACUGGGACUGAGACACGGCCCAGACUCCUACGGGAGGCAGCAGUAGGGAAUCUUCCGCAAUGGACGAAAGUCUGACGGAGCAACGCCGCGUGAGUGAUGAAGGUUUUCGGAUCGUAAAACUCUGUUGUUAGGGAAGAACAAGUGCCGUUCGAAAGGGCGGCACCUUGACGGUACCUAACGAGAAAGCCACGGCUAACUACGUG
rnacentral:rRNA from 1 species